UUGGGCAUCGCACACGUGAAAGCGCUGGACAAUAAACUGUGCUCUGAGGCCUGCUUACCUGGCCUGUUCCCGGGCAGGGAGCCCCUUGUGCCCCCCAGUGACCCCGUUUCCUCGCUCGUGUGCAUGUCCCCCCUGUGCGACUCUGCUCCCACCUUCACCAUGUGCCUUCUGGUCUCUCCUGCCACGCAGCCGCCGUGCCGGACUCCUGCCCCAUUAACAUUGAGGAAUAGGCCCAGAGGCAGCCAACAACAACGUGCGGCUGCAGCAGGCACCCCAGCCCCGCUGCCCCCCCGGCCCCCAGGACCUGGAGCAGGCAGCGGCCACCCCUGUGUGAGGGCUCAGCCUCAGCAGGGGCACACGAACCCCUGUGCACGCAGAGGGGUCCGGGCACCGCAGGCAUCGCCACCUCCCUCCCCUGGCUGUGGCAGGACUGCAUUUCCAAAGGGAAGAUGGUAUCGUGGGCUUUUCCUGCCCGGCCCCGCUGUGCAGAGGGGGGCCGAGAACCACAUCACUGCAGAGCCCCCCCAUCAGCACCUUCCCAUCCUCCAGCCCUGGUGCGGAUGGGCUGGGGUCCCCUCCUGCCCCUGGCCAUCUCACACCCAUCCUCAGGCUUUUCUCCUCCAGUGUGCAGAGCACAUGGGAUGGGGUCACCCCACAAAGGGUGUCCUGGGAUGUUGUCAGAGGUGGAUGAUGCCUG
rnacentral:lncRNA from 14 species